rnacentral:rRNA from 1 species
GAUGAACGCUGGCGGCGUGCCUAAUACAUGCAAGACGAGCGAACAGACGAUGAGCUUGCUCCUCUGCCGUUAGCGGCUGACGGGCGAGUAACACGUGGAUAACCUACCUAUAAGACUGGGAUAACUUCGGGAAACCGGAGCUAAUACCGGAUAAUAUAUUGAACCGCAUGGUUCAAUAGUGAAAGACGGUUUUGCUGUCACUUAUAGAUGGAUCCGCGCCGCAUUAGCUAGUUGGUAAGGUAACGGCUUACCAAGGCAACGAUGCGUAGCCGACCUGAGAGGGGGAUCGGCCACACUGGAGAUGAGACACGGUCCAGACUCCUACGGGAGGCAGCAGUGUGGAAUCUUCCGCAAUGGGCGAAAGCCUGACGGAGCAACGCCGCGUGAGGGAGGAGAGUGUUCGGAUCGUAAAACGCUGUUAUUAGGGAAGAACAAAUGUGUAAGUAACUAUGCACGUCUUGAGGGUACCUAAUCAGAAAGCGACGGCUAACUACGUG